rnacentral:rRNA from 1 species
AUUGAACGCUAGCGGGAUGCCUUACACAUGCAAGUCGAACGGAGUGGCGAACGGGUGAGUAAUGUAUCGGAACGUGCCCAGUAGCGGGGGAUAACUACGCGAAAGCGUAGCUAAUACCGCAUACUAUUGGAGCGGCCGAUAUCGGAUUAGCUAGUUGGUGGGGUAACGGCGCCCCAAGGCGACGAUCCGUAGCUGGUUUGAGAGGACGACCAGCCACACUGGUACUGGGAAACAGCCCAAAAUCCUACGGAAGGCAGGAGUGGGGAAUAUUGCACAAUGGAGUGAAUUCUGAUGCAGCGACGCUGCGUGAACGAAGAAGGCUUUCGAGUCGUAAAGUUCUUUUAUAUGGGAACGGUACCAUAAGAAAAAGCCCCGGCUAACUACGUGCCAGCCGCCGCGGUAAUUC